rnacentral:lncRNA from 1 species
AGGCAUGCACCCACUCAUUAGAUCGAUCGAUGUGCUCAAGCUUAAAACUCAAUCAAGCAAAGAGGUACAGCAAGGCAGCAUGGCUGUACGGGCGCGUCAGUGUGCUGUGCCAAUCAUACAGCCCAACGGAUCGACCCGUCGACGGAGCCAUCAAGGAGAGGAAAAAAAAGAAAAAAGAAAUUAAAAGCCAUUAUUCGUCGCC